rnacentral:rRNA from 1 species
AAGAGAGUGACAGAGGACGUGAAACCGAUGAGAUGGAGANACGGAAAGAGGUACCGAAAAGUGCUCNNAUACAGCUGCUAUUNCUGCGUGAUCCUUAUCGNUUGCGAUCCCGCCAGGGUUGCACGGUUUGGCUUCAUGCAGGAUGGCAGUGCAUUUGCGAGUUGCGUGCACUGCGGCUUGUGGUAAGGUCACUUAAAAUGCUUCUAGAGGACUCCAUUCGGAGAAACCUGGUUGCACGGAAGGUGAUCCGAAUUGCAAGUACGGAACUGGCCAACGUGCGUUGCGGUUAUUGUUGUCGUUCCUUGUGUAAAUCGCAUGCGAUUUGCGCUUGCGAAUGGCUUCGAUAGCAGUUUCGUAAACUGUUCCGACCGCAGUGUCAAAGGUGCUCAUCUUUCCGACCCGUCUUGAAACACGGACCAAGGAGUAUACAGUAUGUGCGAGUCAUUGAGUCCUAAACUCAAAGGCGUAAUGAAAGUAAAGAUUCCGUAAGGUUUUGAUAUGCGAUCUCUGGCGCCUUGGUGACAGAGAGCAGCAUAGCCCCGUCUUGAUCGCUUGCGGUAGGGCGGAGGUAGAGCGCAUGCUAUGUGACCCGAAAGAUGGUGAACUAUGCUUGAACAGGAUGAAGCCAGAGGAAACUCUGGUGGAAGUCCGAAGCGAUUCUGACGUGCAAUUCGAUCGUCUGAUUUGAGUAUAGGGGCGAACGACUAAUCGAUCCAUC